UCGAUAGAGGCGCGUAGCAUCAAGAGUAACGGCGCAAGUACGGUCUGCCGAAGACCGCGCCGCGAAAGGGGUAUACGCCGAAGGCGGAGUUUGGCAAACUUCGUGCUGGGAGACGGGAAUAAGAUCCCUUCUACUGUCGCAGAAAUGCGGAGAGCUAUCAG
rnacentral:ncRNA from 1 species